AGGGCUCGAACACAUGAACCAUGAGAUCCGGACGUGAGCAGAAAUCAAGAGUUGGACACCUGUAUCUUCACAUGGCACCCUGAACUUCCUGCCCUCAAGACUUAUCAUCAGUGAAUGAAUACUGGGGAGAAACCUUACAAAUUCAAGGAAUGUGGUAAAACUUUAUGGCUUAUCACUAAACGAACAUAGGAGAAUCCAUACUGGGGAAAAAACUUACCAAAGUAAAGAAUGUGGCAAGGCUUUUAACAGUCACUCAAACCAUAUUCAACAUCAAAGAAUUCAUACUAAAGAGAAACCUUAUAAAUGUAAAGAAUGUGGCAAGGCCUUUGUCCACCACUCAAACUUUAAUCGACAUCACAGAAUUCAUAUGGGAGAGAAAUCUUAUAAAUGUGUACAA